AAAAUUCCCACCCUUCCCAAUUUUCAUUCCCCGCCUUUUGUUUAUCUCACAAGACAGAGGUUGCUUCCUUCUCGCUGCUACACCGCCCACCCCCCUUUCUCCCCUACUGCCCCAACACCGCCCACCCGCGUUUCUCCCCAACUGCCCCAACACCGCCCACCGCGUUUCUCCACCAACACGACCCACCUGGAAAGCAUCACCGUGUCGUGGCUUGCAUAUCUCUCCGACACGCGUUUUUCCCCUGAUGCGCGACUGAAGCCGUGUCUCUUACUCCUGGAAUCCGCCUUGUGUUUCUCUGACUCGCUUACUGCUGGAAGCCUCCCCGCAACCGCCUCAUCUCCUCUCCUCUACUGCGCGCACUGCCGCCGUCGAUUGACUCCUCUCGCUGGCCACCACUAGAGCGUAUUAAAUCUUGCAGAAAGGCUACAUUAGUGAGUAUAAGCCUGUAAAGGGAGUUCAAGUUACAGAUGAGUUGAAUUGGCAAAUGCGGAACUGUCUCGAGAGGAUUUACUUGAACAUUAGGAAAAUUGUUAUUUUUUAGAAACACAAACAAAGGAGCGUGAAACCACCAAGCCCUAGUUUUCAUGUAUGAUAUCGCAGGCCAAGUCCGUCCUAUUUUUGCGUUCUGGAUGAACUUCCUGGUGCUGUUGGGAUCAUGGGAAAGGAUCCCCGUGCUAAUCGCCAGGCUGCCAGGAUUACAGUAUUAGACUGAAAGAAGACUAUGCAGAAUCUGUUGCACAGGAAGAACAUAAACAUGACCAGUUAAACCGCUGUAAGAGAUUCUACUAUGUCAACUGAAGGAAUUCAUGAACAAACCAAUGGAGCGUUCCUUCACGACUGAUGUAAUAAAAUGUGUUCGAGACAAGUUGGCAUGAUUUAUUACUAAUGAACGUCUUUGAUUGUUCGCGUUUUUAGCAUUAUAAUGAAUCUAAUACUGUAGUUAGCUACCUUUUUCCAAUAAUCAAUUUAGAUACAAUAUGUUUUAACCCGUUGUUUGAUAUUUGUUUUGAUUUUUUUUUUCACUUGUGUUAUUGAACGGUGUAUGGAUGAGCUAAGGGCAUGUUUAUUGGUAUAUAGUAUAUACGUUGUGGUUGAA